rnacentral:rRNA from 1 species
UGGGGAAUCUUGGGCAAUGGGCGAAAGCCUGACCCAGCGACGCCGCGUGAGUGAUGAAGGCCUUCGGGUUGUAAAGCUCUGUGGGGAGAGAAGAAUAAGUGCAGCCUAAUACGCUGCGCGAUGACGGUAUCUCCUUAGCAAGCACCGGCUAACUCUGUGCCAGCAGCCGCGGUAAGACAGAGGGUGCAAACGUUGUUCGGAAUUACUGGGCGUAAAGCGAGUGUAGGCGGUCUGUUAAGUCGGAUGUGAAAGCCCUGGGCUCAACCCAGGAAGUGCACUCGAUACUGACAGGCUAGAGUAUCGGAGAGGUUGGUGGAAUUCUCGGUGUAGAGGUGAAAUUCGUAGAUAUCGAGAGGAACACCGGUGGCGAAGGCGGCCAACUGGACGAAUACUGACGCUG